rnacentral:rRNA from 1 species
AGUGAACGCUGGCGGUAGGCCUAACACAUGCAAGUCGAACGGCAGCACAGGAGAGCUUGCUCUCUGGGUGGCGAGUGGCGGACGGGUGAGGAAUACAUCGGAAUCUACUUUUUCGUGGGGGAUAACGUAGGGAAACUUACGCUAAUACCGCAUACGACCUACGGGUGAAAGCCGGGGACCUUCGGGCCUUGCGCGAUUGAAUGAGCCGAUGUCGGAUUAGCUAGUUGGCGGGGUAAAGGCCCACCAAGGCGACGAUCCGUAGCUGGUCUGAGAGGAUGAUCAGCCACACUGGAACUGAGACACGGUCCAGACUCCUACGGGAGGCAGCAGUGGGGAAUAUUGGACAAUGGGCGCAAACCUGAUCCAGCCAUACCGCGUGGGUGAAGAAGGCCUUCGGGUUGAAAAGCCCUUUUGUUGGGAAAGAAAUCCAGCUGGCUAAUACCCGGUUGGGAUGACGGUACCCAAAGAAUAAGCACCGGCUAACUUCGUGCCAGCCGCCGCAGUAA